UCUAGAGAAAGACGACUAGAGGUAGAUUAAGGAAAAGAGAUGCGUUUAUUCUCACAGCUGUUAAUUAAAAAUAAUAAAGAUACCAAGUAAAGAAAAAGUAGAGUCUCAUAGCUCAGCUGGUUAGAGCGCUACACUGAUAAUGUAGAGGUCGGCAGUUCGAGUCUGCCUGAGACUACUAGUUUUUUACUUACUGGAAAUUUUGGAAGUUGAGUUAUCACGUUAAGGUGAGCCGUUUUUGAAGCUGUUAACUUAUGACUGUUAGCUGUUAACUAUAAAAAGACGGGGAAUUAGCUCAGCUGGCUAGAGCGCCUGCCUUGCACGCAGGAGGUCAUCGGUUCGACUCCGAUAUUCUCCACAGAAACGUUCAUUGACAUAUUGAAAAAAUACAUAAACAAUUAGGUUAUUUAUAACCUAAUGUAAUUUGAGAUUAAUUGUAGCGCGAGCGACAAUUAAUCAAUAACUCAUUAAAAAGACAAAAAGUACAA
rnacentral:misc_RNA from 1 species